UGAGCCUGAUUCACUUAAGCUAACCUAUUUGGAUCAAUUAACCUAUUAGUGUCUAAGGUAAGUAAUUAAGAGGUGAUUUUUUAAUUAGUUUUAUUCACUUAUCUGAUCAAUUUAUUGGUAUCUAAAGAAAGCAAUGGGUGGACCCCCAUCGAUCUUCACUUACCUGAUCAAUUUGGAAGAUUGAGUCUUGAAUAAGGUUAUUUGACGGUUUGGUUUAGCCCAUUUCAAUU
rnacentral:lncRNA from 1 species